UGCAGUCGACGGUGAACUCCGCUUGCGGGGGGAUCAGUGGCGAACGGGUGAGUAACACGUGGGCAACCUGCCCUCAGCUCUGGGAUAACUCCAAGAAAUUGGGGCUAAUACUGGAUAUGACCGCUGACCGCAUGGUCUGGUGGUGGAAAGAUUUAUCGGCUGGGGAUGGGCCCGCGGCCUAUCAGCUUGUUGGUGGGGUAGUGGCCUACCAAGGCGACCACGGGUAGCCGGCCUGAGAGGGUGACCGGCCACACUGGGACUGAGACACGGCCCACACUCCUACGGGAGGCAGCAGUGGGGAAUAUUGCGCAAUGGGCGAAAGCCUGACGCAGCGACCCCGCGUGGGGGAUGACGGCCUUCGGGUUGUAAACCUCUUUCAGCAGGGACGAAGCGAAAGUGACGGUACCUGCAAAAGAAGCACCGGCCAACUACGUGCCAG
rnacentral:rRNA from 1 species